UGGGAGUGGUUUAGCCUUUGCCGCCAAGAGAGUUUUGGGGGGAUCCCGAAAGAUUAUCGAAGAGGACUUGGCAUACGUGUUCGUGGAUCGCUGCCCGUGCCACCAAAGUACAUCCGAAAAAAUGCCUCGGAGCAAGGGCGAGUCCCGGAAGGAAGCAGGGAGUUCCAAGCCCACCGCCGGAGCAGGAGAACUAGGAGGCGCAACGAAGCGGUGCUGAAGGUUUGGGACAACUUUAAGACCCUCAAACCCCAUCAGCUUCUGGCAGAACUUUGCAAGCAACGCUGGGCAGAAGGAGGAGGAGGAGGAGAGGAAGGAAAAAGAGAAGGAGAAAGAAAACUAAACCAGGAAGAGAUGGAAGAAAGGCAGCACUAUGUCUGGUUCUCUCCAAAUCCAACAUGUGGCAUUGUUUUAUUUUUCUAUAUAAAGUAUUUCGAUCCUGCUUUUCCAUUUACAAAAAAUUCCACAAUAUGGCUUAAGCGACAACAUUAACGGCAUUCCAACCACAUGGCAACAACAUGGCAGAAAGUGCCCUAAUAAAGCUGAAAAAUAGUGCA
rnacentral:lncRNA from 1 species